AUUGUGACAUGUUAAACAAAAAAGCCCAACGGGUAUGCGCCGCCGGGCGUUAAUGACAGAG
rnacentral:sRNA from 1 species